GGGUGUUCUUUAACUUUGAUUUUCUUGGGUUUUAUUAGAUUUUACAUGUCCAUUUUGUGAAUGAUUGUUAUUAGUUUACGCACAACUCCUAUAGCAUUCAAAGGGUUUUAGUCGAGUGUUCUGAUUGCAUCAUAAAGAACAUCUACCAUCUCCGGAACAAUUCUCAGUUUUCUGUAAGAGGUUUGGCCAUGGGCGUACUACGUCAACACCAUCGCCGACUCUCUUCUGCAAGAACUGCCCUUGCUCUCCUCUUCUUUGUCAUCGCUUCCUCUGCCAUUGCCCACUCUCACUUCUCACCGAUUCACCAACUGGGUGUAGAAAGGAAAGAGACAGAGGAGACGAAAAGGGGAAAUUGGUUUCAGGUGUGGGAGAAAUUUCUGAUUCCGAGGAGAGUAGCUAGGCAUGGAUCGUCUCCGCCGACGUGCCAGUCUAAGUGUGGGAAUUGUUCACCUUGUGAGGCAGUGCGUGUGCGUAUCCAGACCCAUUGGAAAAUACUUAAUGACUACUACGCUGAAGCUUGGCGUUGCAAAUGUGGCAAUAAGUACUUCAUGCCUUGAAUUGAAGAAUAGAUGGGAAAGAAAAUAGAAAGGGCAGGGGAGGGUAGGGGAUGUUAUCAUCAUAGAGGUGUCUCUUUAUCUAUAUCUGCUACUAUGCAUUUUCUUCUGGGUUUGUAUGAAAUAAAUUUCUUUCCUGGAACAUAUAGCAAACAUGUGGUAUGCAAUUUUUAA